rnacentral:lncRNA from 1 species
UCCUCAUCAUGUUCCAUUUCCUGCUCUGGUUCUCAAUCUUCCAUUUCCAACUCAAUUCUCGCAUAUGUCGGUUUGACCAGUCCAUUUCUCGAUCAGACUGAAUCUCCCAUUCCAUUUCCUGUCUAACCAGCUUCAUCCUAUCCAUUUCCUUGUCAAUCAGGGUUAUCACAGGUCUUCCAUGAUUGUCCAAAGUCAGUCCAUGCUUUAUAAAGGCCACAUCAAGGCCCAUAGCCUUUUCUCGGUCCAGUACCUCAUGGAUCAAGCCUUUUAGCUUUCCAUAAAGCUCAUCAGGUCGCGCCAUGAUCCAUUUCAUAGCUUCUUCUUUCCUUGACUUCAUGUUCUUUAGUAUGGAGCUGAUCAGGGUCACACCAUCCUCUCUCCCUUCAAAAGGAUUUGUCCUCAAAUCCGAGACUUGUAAGAUGAUAGAAACAUGAUCAUCUCCUGGAUCAAAUACCCAGGACUGCAAUCCUUUUCCAUGCUUCAGCAAGCUCUUGGAACCUUGCUCAAUCAUCUCUAAGCUCCUCACGUGCCUUAGUAUGUAGCAAACAAAACUUUCCUUUCCAUUUAACUCAUAACCAGCUGCUGCUGCAAAAGCUUCUCUCCAUUUACUCCAUAAGCACGCCUCAACCAUGGCUGUCUCAGCAUGUGUUCUAUGCUCUCCCGGAUAGAAUGAGAGCAUUAGAUCUCUAAAAACAAGCAGAAACCUUGCUGAUUGAUCUGGUGGCCGAACUAGCUCCUUGUGGAUGCCUAGGAGAAUAUCUAUGAUUUCUCUCAAUACACCUUGCCCAAUGCUCAUUAUAACUUGGUUCUCAUGCUGCAUAGGGUCUGGUGGUCGUGUGUAAUGAUCCCCAUAUUCAUUCUCAAGUUUUGGCAUCUUUUUAACCACAACAAGUUUCUGUUUUGUUGAUCUGAGCUGGUUCUGAUCAGUUAUGGGACUGAUCAAGAGCGUGUUACCUCCUGUUUCUCCUCUAUUUUUACUGCAGAUACUCAAGAUCACACCAUCCUCUCUCCCUUCAAAAAGAUUUGACCUCAAAUCUUGUUUUUCAGGAGUGAAGAAACCUUGCAGAUCAAGCUUGUAUGAAACUGUUUUCUGCACUAGAUUGUUGUUACUUCUUAUACUAACACUGAAGCUUCCUCCUGGUUCAAAAACAACUUGCUGCAAGCCCUUAACAUCUCUCAAAUACUCCACUAGUCUGAUAUUAAUCCAUUCAGGAGGUGUGGUUAGUAGAUCACAAGAAAAAGAUUCAAUGAUAUCACCUCCUUUAACUACAGUUGUAACUGCCAAUUCAUGAGCUUUAGGUGAUCCAUUAAGCACUCCUUCUUCAGAUUGGUUUUGACCAGGCACGUGGCCACAUAUAACUGAUGUUCUAUCCUCUUGUUUCAGAUGGUUGUCCAAGUUGUCUGCUUCACAAAGAGUGGUUGGUUCUGAUUCAAAAGCUUGUUCUCUCACACCCUGUUUUUCUGCAGUUUCUUCUUUCUUCUCUACUGGUUCCUUCUGGUAACAACAUAGCUCAUAGUCUCUUGAUGCUGGACGUGGGGCUGAUGUCUGUUGUAGUUUUUCCAUCACAUCAGUGAGUGAUUGAUCUAUCAUGUUCCUGAGGUCUUGCUUGAGCUGUGGGUUUUGCAAUUCCUCAAGAUAUGCUUGAUGUAGCUGCAACUUUCUUGGUGCCUCACCACCAUAGUAUGUCUUUGUCUCAUCUUUUGGUGUCCUAAUAUGUCCUUUAGCUGAACCAGAUUGGCUGUGCUUCCUUUCCAAAUCAGUUUGUCCAUACCUCUUGGCUACAAACCUUUUCUUCAUGACUGCCUUCAUCUCAUACCAAGAAGAAAUUUGUUGCUCUCCAUACUGUCUCCUGGUAUUAGCUGUCUGAUACCACCAAUCAAGUGCAUAACCACAUAAACCAGUAGAUGCCAAUUGAGCCUGCUUCUCUGCUGUGUACCCUUGACACUUAAUAAUUAAAUCCAUAUUCUUUUCCCAUUCUAGGUAUGUAUCUGGAUCAUAGUCUCCAUAGAAGGGUGGAAUCUGGAUCUGUUUUUUUUUUCUUUGCAAUUCCCUUGUUGCUUUGCACUCAGCUUUCUCUUCAUGGUUUCUUUUUCUUUCAAAAGAAUACAUAUGAGACUGCUGGAUAUGAUAGAUCACGUGAUUUAGGUUAAGAACAAAAUCCCCAAACAUUCAAGUGGCUCUGAUACCACUUGGUGCAGCCCUGGAAUGGCUGUCUCUCCCUGGAUCACUUGAAGGGGGGCGUGGGUAGAUGAUAGAAGAUGGCUAUGGACUUCACCUGCGAGCUAUGGACUGCUCAAAGGUUGUUUAGCUACUCCUGAGACACAGGAUCACCCUGCUUAAUGUCUAGGAUGGAUCACAGAAGAUUAACUCUCCCUUAGUGUGAUAUAGAACACGUCCACCUAGGUGAACAAAGAGACAAAGUCUCAAGAACAAUCUGGUUUUGCACCAAAAAGGAAUUUUAUUGAUAAAAGAAUGGUUGAAUGUUACAUGGACGUGGUGCAACUGUUUAAAAGAGAAAAACAUAAAACCCUAAGCCUAAACCAAUGUGGUUUAGGAAAACCAAAACCAAAUCCUAGUGCUAAUUGAUUUAAAACACCAAACCGACUCCCAAUGGGUUUAUAAAGCCCAAAACCUAUUCCUAAUGAGUUUACAUAAAUAAUAAAACCAAAUCAACUCAAAAUAGACCAUAAUGGUCGUGCAUAAUCAUAUUGGGCUAAUCAUAAACCAAGCUGGCUUGUCCUUCCACUUUUUGGGCCGAUAAAGGCCUUUUUCGAACAACUCUUUCUUGGGCUCGAUCCAUCUUGUUCCAGGUCCGACCAAGCUGCUCCUUAUGCUCAUUCGGAUGAUAAAGGUCCUCAUCAUGUUCCAUUUCCUGCUCUGGUUCUCAAUCUUCCAUUUCCAACUCAAUUCUCGCAUAUGUCGGUUUGACCAGUCCAUUUCUCGAUCAGACUGAAUCUCCCAUUCCAUUUCCUGUCUAACCAGCUUCAUCCUAUCCAUUUCCUUGUCAAUCAGGGUUAUCACAGGUCUUCCAUGAUUGUCCAAAGUCAGUCCAUGCUUUAUAAAGGCCACAUCAAGGCCCAUAGCCUUUUCUCGGUCCAGUACCUCAUGGAUCAAGCCUUUUAGCUUUCCAUAAAGCUCAUCAGGUCGCGCCAUGAUCCAUUUCAUAGCUUCUUCUUUCCUUGACUUCAUGUUCUUUAGUAUGGAGCUGAUCAGGGUCACACCAU